rnacentral:misc_RNA from 1 species
UGGUUCCGGCAUCGAUGAAGAACGCAGCGAAAUGCGAUAAGUAAUGUGAAUUGCAGAAUUCAGUGAAUCAUCGAAUCUUUGAACGCACAUUGCGCCCUUUGGUAUUCCAUGGGGCAUGCCUGUUCGAGCGUCAUUUUAAUCUUCAAGCUUAGCUUGGCCUUGGGAGUAGCCUAUGGGCGCUCCUGUAACCUGUUGGCGGAAUUGCCUGGCUUCAAGCGUAGCAAACUACUCGCUUUGUCGACUGGUAGAUUCUAGCCUUGCUUUAUUUAUUCAUUAGACCUCGGAUCAGGUAGGGAUACCCGCUGA